GUUGCUCGCUUCGGCAACCCAUAUACUAAAAUUGGAACGAUACAGAGAAAAUUAGCAUGGCACCUGCACAAAGAUGAUGAGGAAUUUUGUCAAGUGUUCCAUAUCUUU